UACAGAGGUCCCGAGCGUUGUUCGGAUUCAUUGGGCGUAAAGGGUGCGUAGGUGGCGCCGUAAGUGGGGUGUGAAAUCCCGGGGCUUAACCCCGGGACUGCAUUCCAUACUGCGGUGCUUGAGGACUGGAGAGGAGACUGGAAUUUACGGUGUAGCAGUGAAAUGCGCAGAUAUCAGGAGGAACACCGGUGGCGAAGGCGGGUCUCUGGGCAGUAACUGACGUGAGGAGCGAAAGCGUGGGGAGCGAACAGG
rnacentral:rRNA from 1 species